GACGAACGCUGGCGGCGUGCUUAACACAUGCAAGUCGAACGGAAAGGCCCUGCUUUUGUGGGGUGCUCGAGUGGCGAACGGGUGAGUAACACGUGAGUAACCUGCCCUUGACUUUGGGAUAACUUCAGGAAACUGGGGCUAAUACCGGAUAGGAGCUCCUGCUGCAUGGUGGGGGUUGGAAAGUUUCGGCGGUUGGGGAUGGACUCGCGGCUUAUCAGCUUGUUGGUGGGGUAGUGGCUCACCAAGGCUUUGACGGGUAGCCGGCCUGAGAGGGUGACCGGCCACAUUGGGACUGAGAUACGGCCCAGACUCCUACGGGAGGCAGCAGUGGGGAAUAUUGCACAAUGGGCGGAAGCCUGAUGCAGCAACGCCGCGUGCGGGAUGACGGCCUUCGGGUUGUAAACCGCUUUCGCCUGUGACGAGGCGUGAGUGACGGUAAUGGGUAAAGAAGCACCGGCUAACUACGUG
rnacentral:rRNA from 1 species